GCUUCCCCUGGGCCGCGGAAUGUUCCAGGAGCAGGUGGAGGGGGAAGCCCCGCGGCACUGGGAACGCACUCAAGGCCAAAUGACUUGGACACGUUCAAACAGUCCACUGAACGUGUCCAGUAUGAACUUUACCUGAAUUUCUAAAAAGUCAAGUAGGUUCAAGAUUUGCAAAAUGCAUAGAAAUGGAGCAAAUGCGGCUGUGAGGCCUCCCCCCCCCGCAGGCUGCCGUGGGCAAAAAGGUGUUUAUUCCCGACGGGAUGUGGCCCACGGUUCCCGUCUCCCCUCUGAGCGGGGAUCCCCCACACCUGGUGGCGUUUGGGGGGAACCCCUGCUGCUCGCCUGGAGCUCCCUGUUCUGUUCUCAGCCCAUGGAGGGGGACCCCAAAACUCACUUUCCCUUUUUAAUCGUGUUCCUGCCCAGGAGCGGGUCCAGCACGGGGUCCACGGUCUCGCCGAUGUUCUCAAUGAGCAAGGUGUCCCCCUCAGAGAUGGCGUGCUCGAUGAUGUCCAGGCGGAACCCCUCCCCCCCCGCGGCGGGCACCUCUUCUGCCCCAGGCGGAUGGCCUUCAGAUCGCUGCCGAACUUGUUCCUGAUCCACUUGAUGCCCUGCAGCUGGGCGUCCACAAUGAGUGGCCAGCGCUCCGUGUUGCACAGGAUGGUGGCGUUCUCCGUGGACAUGCGGUCGCUGGGGAGCCCCUGGUUGUUCCACGUGGCCACGCCCGCGUCGUCGGUGAGCAGGCUCAAGGGGUCCAGACCCUCCGUGAUGGGGAUGGGGACCUGCCGGGAGGUGCAGCCUUAGUGCCCUCAGGAGGCGCCCGCGGUCCAGGUCCCAGGGCCUCUGCCGUCAGACGGCGGGCGCGCGGCCACCUGGGAGGACGUCAGCGCGGGCCACGGGGCCACAGUCGGACCCGAAUGGCUGGAGCCUCGGUCUCGGGAUGCAGGGAGUUUGGGGGCUGCCUGCCCGGCGGGCCCCUCCCCGGGUUUCCCGGGCCGCGGGCCUCGUACCUUUAGCUUGUUGAUGUAGGGGACCCAGAACUUCUCCAUGAGCUCGUUCCGGUACUUCUUGGUGAAGUAGCCCACGUAGGAGACGAAGGCCGAGAUGAGCAGCACGUCCCCGCACAGCGUGACCCCCUGGGACCUGAAGUUCUGCACCGACUCCGCCCAGCGGACGUUCUCGGACGCCAGGCCGCCCACCAGCCUGAGGGGACCCAGCUUGUCCUGGGCCUCGGCCAGCUCGGCGUUGGCCUCCUCCAGCGCCUGCCGCUUGGGCGCCACGUCGCAGUACACCUCGUAGAAGCGCACGAUGUUGAUGCACCAGGAGCACAGCCCCGCGGCCGCCGUGG